UCUUUACUGCGGAGUUCGACACCGACGCAAUAAUAAUUGAGCCAACACUUGAAUUGAGGGGGGCCGAUGUCGGUUCCAGUGCAAGCUUCUACGGGAGUUUGCCAGAGGCUCCGGCUAAUGCGUUUCUUCGGGGACGUGACGCCACCCACCUGUAAAUACAGGUUCAAUUCAUGCGUUCGGAACGGCUAUCACGGUUACUUU
rnacentral:other from 1 species